AAACUGAGAGCUAGGAUUAGGGAGGAAGUCUUGCCAAGAAAUCCAAAAAAUAAAAGGCUGAAAAAUAUUCUUGGUGUCACCGGGAAAUGUACACUUCAAAUUACUUUCAUAUUGUGCUCCUAAACUCUCUGAAAAUCAGAGUACAUUGAAAGCAUCCUUCUGAAAAUACUUGCACAUUUUACAAAUCUUUUAAGCUGCAUAUUGGUCUGUGGAUCAUAUUCUCCUAGAUGCUAAGAAACCUGACUCCCUCCAGUAUAUAAGGCCUGUGUUCUGAGAUUUUUAUUAUGAAGUCUGCAAAAUGUGAAAUUUGUGCAUAUGUGCUGGAUCCUCCAUAUUGAAGUGUUCUUUUCUUCAUAUGCAAUCAAAGCUGGCUACACUGGUGAUGGAGGUCACCCUUGAUCAAGUGCCAUGUGUUGAAGAGCCUGACUUUAAUUUCAAUCACACUUGCAGACAUUUCAAGCUCUAUUGCAGCACUGCUGAAAGACUUGUAUCAGGGGAAUUGACUCUGAAUGACUUGCAAGCAUAGAGAUCUUCAGCGUUAUUCCUGCUUUAUUACUCAUUUCAGCUUGAUUUACUGCUGAUUUUUAACUUGUAAGCAAACUAUCUCCACAAAGUAAAUUGUGUCAGCAGUCAAGCUGACUCUGUUGUACAGUAAAUGUGUGACAUUUUUGAAACGUGUGUUCUGCAGUCUGAAGAAGCUGUUGCACACUGCUGUUAAUCUCGGGGCCCUUCUCAUUUCCUACCUUGGGCUCCAAGGCCAUACUUAACCGUAAACAAGUGAGUCUCUAUCUGCUGGUUUCUGUACAUCUCUGCUGUGGUUCACUGUAGCUUUCUGUGAGUCUGGAGACACACAGUCCUCAAUUCAUCAACAUUGAAAAUAUUAUUGAAUGUUAUAUAUUUUGCUUAUAUAUUUUAUAUAUAAGCAUAUAUAUAAGCAUAAAAUAUAUAUAAGCAUAUAAUAUAUAUUUUUUGCUUAUAUAUAUUUUUUAAUAUUCAAAAUACAAGUCCUCAAUUCCCCUGGCACUAGAAAAGGAGCAACAAAACAUUAGAGAUGGCAUGUUCAGCACUGACAAAAUGACUCUCGUCUCAAAUGUCAUAGUAUCUUUAUAAUCCAGAGGAACUGAAUGAGAGGCAGAAAAGCUUCUCUUUCCUCAGGUGUGCUUGUAAUUUGCCAGUCUUGGUCAAUGCAACACACAAACAUAGGCAGUGCAGAUUUCAUUCAAAGUGUACUAUUUAAUGCUUACUUCUGCUUAGAACAUGAAGAAAAAGAAACUGUAAUAAUUUUUAUUAGCACAGAGAUCAAUCAGAGGAAUUCAGCUGUCUUAAACAUACUCUCCCAGGUUUUCACCCAACUUCUAGCUGUGCCAUUCUGACCCUGAGGGAGAGAUAGGCAGAACGGGUAGGGAGAAACCUCUGUUGAGCAGGAAUAGGGUGAUUAACUGAGUUGUGCCAUGGUACAUUGCAGGGCAACUGACAGGAGGAAGGGGGAUAGGCCAAAUUUUCACCAGGUCUAUGAAAGGCAAAACUGUGCUAUUAAUAUGCAUCCCUUUUACCACCUAAGGACAAUACUAAGUUUGAAGCCAGCUCUGGCAAACAUUUUUUUCUCUUUUGUGCUUCAGAUGCUGAAACUUGUGUUUCUUUACUGCAGUUGGGUGGCAUUUAAAUUGAAUGCCCUUUGGUUUACAAAAGGAGGAAAGAUAAAUAGCAAGUGCAUUUAAAACAAGCAGCAAAUUCUAUAAGCAGCAAAAUUUAUUAAAACUGUUUUCCUGUGCUUUAGUCUUGGGGUCAGUCUCCUGAAUGGAUUUUUUGAUAAAUAAGGACGUGCUCUCAUGAUUGUGUUCUUUUGAUGGAAGCAUAUAUAGUUUUCAUCUUCCAGCUAACUCCUGUUUGCAGGAAACUUGAAGGAACUAUCAAAAGGCCUUCUUAUACUUUGGCCAGGAUUGAAGUUACCAAAUUAAAAAAACAGCUAGGGAAGAAACUAAAGACAGAGAUCUAAAGCACGUAGAUUUCUGUACUCACAAGUAAUAGUUAGGAAACCAAGCUAAAAAUAAAAGGAAAAGACAAAUGCGUUUUGUAAGACUAACAUAGCAUGCUUUCUUGCAGUUAAAUGUUCAGUAUGUGCCACCUCUCACACUACAGUUUGCUGUGAAAUUACAGCUUUUCACAAGCAUUACUCAAGCACAUGUUUUAUAGUAAGCUAGAUGGCUUCUGGAAUAAAUGAACAGCCAAAGCUGAGCCAGAAAAGUCUGCCAAACUUGCAUGAGGAUGCUCUGUCAUAGAAAUGUUUAAAAACCUCAGUUUUUAGCAAUUCAGACGCCAAUGAGAGGUAUUUUUUUUAAAAAAGGAAUAUACAUAAAUUAAACACGUGUAUCUUUUUUUUCAUAAUUAACUCUCUCAUAUUGUUAAACAUUUGAUAAAGGUCACACAGGCAACAGGCAAAAGUACUGUUGGAAUCUCUAUUUUACCAUAAAACUUCAAGUAAUUUUACUCUAUUUUAACUGUUCUAGCUAAUUAUUAGAGACAGUGAACGAUUCGCCUUUUGAGGUAGGUGGCAUUUGUCCUGUCUAUCCAUCAGGGAGAAGACAGUUGUUCAGUGAUUACUGAAAACACAACUGAAACUGUGCUUAUUUAGCAAUUUCUGCAAUUUCAUCAGAAUGCUGAAAUUUCAUCGGAACGGCCAAACAAGGUUGAAUAGGCUGGGUCUGUGAUGGUAGAAUUAACCUCUAUUCAUCAGUCUCUGCUGUUGGAAGUACCUGAGCAUAAUAGUGCUAGGAUACUAGCAUUUGUACUGCUGAUUAAACCUUACCCUGGGAUCCUAUCCAAGGAAAAGAAAGUAACUUUCCUUAGAACAAGAGCAUUCUCCUUCUUAAGUUUAUUUUCAGGUAUGCCAUUACAAAGUGCUGAACAUGAGAUCUCCCUUCCUUUUCUAUACCUAUAAAUUACAGAGCAAUAUUUAAUAAAGUUCUGCAGGGCACAAGAGUUAAGACUGUAUGAUGUGCACACUUGAGGUUUCUGUGGCCACAUUUGCAAACAAUGAAGUGUUUUUAUCUUGUUUCCUUUGGGGAACAACUUUUGUGUUAUCUGGUUAAAUGGUACAAGUAUGCGUGUGUAUACACACAAUUUAUCCCGAGGCAGAAAUAUGAAUGAAUUGUUAAAAGGUCAGUGGUUGCCUGGUUGCUGAGCCAAUGGUAAAAGACCCUCCUCUAAUCGGCCAAAGUGCUUUACUUUCCUGGUUAUGUUCACUCACAUAAGUUACUGGAAUGUGGAUGAAAAAUCCUCUUGAAGGUUGUUAAAACACUAUGUGUACUGUAUCUUUGACAUGCUUGCUGCUCAUAUUGUAACUUACUCCUAGCAUGCAUUAUGUCAGCCUGAUAACUUAGCUUCAGAUAGUCUCUGAAGUCAUAAACUCAGCAGUGUGAUUUCAAA